CGCUUACACUCCUACGGGAGGCAGCAGUGGGGAAUAUUGCACAAUGGGCGCAAGCCUGAUGCAGCCAUGCCGCGUGUAUGAAGAAGGCCUUCGGGUUGUAAAGUACUUUCAGCAGUGAGGAAGGUGGUAGUGUUAAUAGCACUAUCAUUUGACGUUAGCUGCAGAAGAAGCACCGGCUAACUCCGUGCCAGCAGCCGCGGUAAUACGGAGGGUGCGAGCGUUAAUCGGAAUUACUGGGCGUAAAGCGCAUGCAGGUGGUUUGUUAAGUCAGAUGUGAAAGCCCGGGGCUCAACCUCGGAAUUGCAUUUGAAACUGGCAGACUAGAGUACUGUAGAGGGGGUAGAAUUUCAGGUGUAGCGGUGAAAUGCGUAGAGAUCUGAAGGAAUACCGGUGGCGAAGGCGGCCCCCUGGACAGAUACUGACACUCAGAUGCGAAAGCGUGGGGAGCAAACAGGAUUAGAUACCCUGGUAG
rnacentral:rRNA from 1 species